UGGUCGUCAUCUUUCACGUCUGGCUCUUUCUCUAUUUUCUGUUAGGGCCUUCUUCCCCUUUGAGGCUCCUUUUCACUUAUACUGUUACUGUCUCUGUUGCUAUGUUGUCUUGAUUGGUUUUCGUUUCUUUUUGCCACCUCUAACGUGCAUCAACUCUACCUAUUCGGUUUACAACUUCACAUGUUGUACAGGUUUACCAUUCAUUUCGCAGUUUC